CUCUAAUGUUGGAAACGUCCUUAUGGUAAAAUGCCUCGUUCUGGUUUAAAACAUUUUGGAUGCGGAAAUGUGUUUCUACAAUGAAGCAACAAACACUGAAAUCAAUCUUCCUGAAAGGAAACCAGAGAUACACUAUAAAAGGAGAUGAAGGUUUAAUCCCACGGAUCUGCGAAGGCUUGUUCCGGCAGAUAUCUCAUAGAAGCCAGAGUGAUGCAAUGUCGUUCGGUACAGAGGUCAGCUCUUUAGAGAUCUAUAAUGAACGUGUGCAGCACCUCCUCAAGCAGAGAGCUACACCUACAGAUGGUGGAGGUCAGACUGAGUGAGCACCCAAGAGAUGCCCCCUAUGUUCAGAAUCUGUCCAAGCACUUGUUGCAUAACCGCAGUGACGUGGAGGACCUGAUAUCUCUCGGCGACGCCAGGCGCACCACAGCCAGCGUGGGCAUGAAUGACCUCAGUAGCC